rnacentral:rRNA from 1 species
UCAGGAUUAACGGCUGGCGGCAUGCCUAAUACAUGCAAGUCGAAUGGAAGAGCUUGCUUUCCAUGGCGAACGGGUGAGUAACACGUAGGUAACCUACCUUAAGGACGAGGAUAACCUUUGGAAACGAAGGAUAAUACUGGAUAGGACAUUAUAAAGCACAUGCUUAAAUGUUUUAAAGGAGCAAUCCACCAUAAGAGGGGCCUGCGGCGCAUUAGCUAGUUGGUGAGAUAAAGGCCACCAAGGCGAUGAUGCGUAGCUGGACUGAGAGGUUGAACAGCCACAAUGGGACUGAGAACGGCCCAUACUCCUACGGGAGGCAGCAGUAGGGAAUUUUCGGCAAUGGGCAAAAGCCUGACCGAGCAAUGCCCGCGUGAUCGAAGAAGUAUUUCGGUAUGUAAAGAUCUUUUAUCAGGGAAGAAAAAACAAAUUGACUGAACCUGAUGAAUAAGCUCCGGCUAACUACGUGCCAGCAGCUGC